UGGCUCAGGACGAACGCUGGCGGCGUGCUUAACACAUGCAAGUCGAGCGGUAAGGCUCUUCGGGGUACACGAGCGGCGAACGGGUGAGUAACACGUGAGCAAUCUGCCCUUCUCUUCGGAAUAACCAUUGGAAACGAUGGCUAAUGCCGAAUACGACCUCGGAUCACAUGUUCUGAGGUGGAAAGCUCCGGCGGAGAAGGAUGAGCUCGCGGCCUAUCAGCUAGUUGGUGAGGUAACGGCUCACCAAGGCAUUGACGGGUAGCCGGCCUGAGAGGGUGACCGGCCACACUGGGACUGAGACACGGCCCAGACUCCUACGGGAGGCAGCAGUGGGGAAUAUUGGACAAUGGGCGAAAGCCUGAUCCAGCAACGCCGCGUGAGGGAUGACGGCCUUCGGGUUGUAAACCUCUUUCAGCGGGGACGAAGCGAAAGUGACGGUACCCGCAGAAGAAGGACCGGCCAACUACGUGCCAGCAGCCGCGGUAAUACGUAGGGUCCGAGCGUUGUCCGGAAUUAUUGGGCGUAAAGGGCUCGUAGGCGGUUUGUCGCGUCGGGAGUGAAAACUCAGGGCUCAACCCUGAGCGUGCUUCCGAUACGGGCAGACUAGAGGUAUGCAGGGGAGAACGGAAUUCCUGGUGUAGCGGUGGAAUGCGCAGAUAUCAGGAGGAACACCGGUGGCGAAGGCG
rnacentral:rRNA from 1 species